rnacentral:rRNA from 1 species
UUAGAGUUUGAUCCUGGCUCAGGAUGACCUUUGGCGGCGUGCUUAACACAUGCAAGUCGAACGGGGCACCCCCAAAGGAGUUUUCGGACAACUGCGGGGAAUGCCUAGUGGCGAACGGGUGAGUAACGCGUGAGCAACCUGCCUUGGAGUGGGGAAUAACAGAUGGAAACAUCUGCUAAUACCGCAUGAUGCAGUUGGGCCACAUGGCUCUGACUGCCAAAGAUUUAUCGCUCUGAGAUGGGCUCGCGUCUGAUUAGCUAGUUGGCGGGGCAACGGCCCACCAAGGCGACGAUCAGUAGCCGGACUGAGAGGUUGGCCGGCCACAUUGGGACUGAGACACGGCCCAGACUCCUACGGGAGGCAGCAGUGGGGAAUAUUGGGCAAUGGGCGCAAGCCUGACCCAGCAACGCCGCGUGAAGGAAGAAGGCUUUCGGGUUGUAAACUUCUUUUCUCAGGGACGAACAGAUGACGGUACCUGAGGAAUAAGCCACGGCUAACUACGUGCCAGCAGCCGCGGUAAUACGUAGGUGGCAAGCAUUAUCCGGAUUUACUGGGUGUAAAGGGCGUGUAGGCGGGGACGCAAGUCAGAUGUGAAAACCACGGGCUCAACCUGUGGCCUGCAUUUGAAACUGUGUUUCUUGAGUACUGGAGAGGCAGACGGAAUUCCUAGUGUAGCGGUGAAAUGCGUAGAUAUUAGGAGGAACACCAGUGGCGAAGGCGGUCUGCUGGACAGCAACUGACGCUGAGGCGCGAAAACGUGGGGAGCAAACAGGAUUAGAUACCCUGGUAGUCCACGCUGUAAACGAUGGAUACUAGGUGUGGGGGGACUGACCCCCUCCGUGCCGCAGUUAACACAAUAAGUAUCCCACCUGGGGAGUACGAUCGCAAGGUUGAAACUCAAAGGAAUUGACGGGGGCCCGCACAAGCGGUGGAGUAUGUGGUUUAAUUCGAAGCAACGCGAAGAACCUUACCAGGGCUUGACAUCCCGAGGCCCGGUGUAGAGAUACACCUUUCUCUUCGGAGACCUCGGUGACAGGUGGUGCAUGGUUGUCGUCAGCUCGUGUCGUGAGAUGUUGGGUUAAGUCCCGCAACGAGCGCAACCCUUAUUGUUAGUUGCUACGCAAGAGCACUCUAGCGAGACUGCCGUUGACAAAACGGAGGAAGGUGGGGACGACGUCAAAUCAUCAUGCCCCUUAUGGCCUGGGCUACACACGUGCUACAAUGGCGUAAACAAAGGGAAGCGAGCCUGCGAGGGUAAGCGAAUCCCAAAAAUAACGUCCCAGUUCGGAUUGCAGUCUGCAACUCGAGUGCAUGAAGCUGGAAUCGCUAGUAAUCGCGGAUCAGAAUGCCGCGGUGAAUACGUUCCCGGGUCUUGCACAAAGCGCCCGUCA